AGAGAAAUAUAGAAUAGAAUAGAAAUAUAGAAUAGAAUAGAAAUAUAGAAUAGAAUAGAAAUAUAUGUAGAAUCCACCAAUGGGUUAACUCUGCCUUCCUGCCCAUUAGCCAAAUUUGUCACGCCCUUCCUUGGGUGGCCACUCCCCAUUCUUUAACUCGGUUUUGGCCCAGACGGACGUGAUAAAAUUGGCUCCCGGUCUAAGGCAGGUAGUAGAUAUUAAUUCCUUGGUGGAUUCUCUCUAUAUUCUCCAUUCACAGCCUUUUUCAACAGCGCUGGGAUCAGCGCUGGAUGAAAUAGGCUGUAAAAAGACAAGGAAGGGUUUUGUUUUUUCCCUCUUUCCUCACUCCUAUGCAAAUCUGAGGCUCCUUCGUGGCUUUAUUCAAGAUAAAGCGAGGGAAAACAAACUGCCUGCGCAGCGCUUAAGCAGCGGAUCGGCUCCUUCCCGGGGCUUUCCCCCCCUUUGUUUUAGCGGCUAGGAGUCCUGCCGGCUGCCCUUUGCAGCGCCUAGCUAUCUGAAAGGGGGGAGGGAGUGAUCUAGCGGCAGCGCCUUCGGAUUGGGAGGUUUUUUUUUUUUCCGGCGAGAUCGCUGGAUUAAACGGAGCGAUCGUUUUUCCCUUGUGCCUCCCUGCUGGCUCCGCCCGCCAUUUUGGAAAGCGGAGCACGCCGCGGCGACCGGAAGCGGCCUGUUUCUUCUUCCGAUUUACAUUUCCCGCCACUGGAGCUGCGGCCGGGCAAGCACCGCCCACUCUUCCUGUCCAGAGACUUGCUCCGGUUGCCAUUUUUUCCCCCCCUUUUCAAAUCAAACCGUCUCCACAGCCCCUCCCAUCCUCAGCGCAGUGGUUCACGGGAUUGAUUCAAUCCUUGGCAGUUUUGAGUCAAUUGAUUGAUUAAAUAAUAAUUGAUUCAAUCCUUUGCCUUCAUCCUUCCCCCACCAGCAGGGAAGAGCUGCAGGAAAGCUCCCUUCUCCCCUUAACACACAUCCUUUCUUUUCCACUCCUCUCUCCCUAUUCUCUUUAACAGUAAAUAAUAAACCCAGAACAGAUAUUAAUAGACAUUGACAUUACAGAAUAGCAAUUAAUAGCAAUUAAUAAUAAAAUAAUUAACAAUUAAUAACAAAGACUACUAAUAGAUACAUAAAUACAAUCUACUCCAUCUCACAAUCCAUUCCCAGAAACGCCUACCAACCAAUCUGGUGCAAACUGUUCACCUGACCACAUUAAGCAUACCUGCAGUCUACAGCGAGCAGCAUUGCCACAACAGUAGGCAGACCGGACAACCUCUGACCACUGGUCCAGUGGUCAGAAGAGCAAGACGACCACUCCCUGUUGCACCUGUUCAGCCUCUCUCGCCAACUGAUCCCCGGCCAGACCUCCCUCUCGUUGCCACUGAGAAAGCUCCAUCCAGGAUGGAGGAGUCCACGUUGUCUCAACCCAAGAACACCGCCUCCCUUCCCACCAGCCACAAAAGACAGAAAUCCUCCAAGCAGGAGGCGGCAGGCAGGAUCAAAGCCAAAGCUAAGUCCGUUUCUGGAGGGAAACCUUCCAAGUUGGAGGAGAAACUGGCUAAGAGAAGGCACCAAGCUCUGGAGAGGGAAUUCUCCAGAGCGCAAAAGCGGGCCAGGAUAAAGGCGGAGCAAGUGGAGGAGGCGCCUUUUGAUCUUCCCUUGGGACCCUCUACUCAAGGGGCGUGGUUUCCGGAAAGGUCAAUCCAGAACCCUAAAGAGGAACGGCCCCAGGCAGCCACCCCUGAAGCCACCUUCACCCCCACAGCGGCAGGGCUGAGGAGGACGGAGACCAAAGGUGUCCCCUCCAAGGACUGGUUCCAAUCCAUAACCAAGCAGGCUUUCGACAGACUGCUGGCUGCUACGGUCAACCAGGGGUCGAGAUCCAAACCCGUGACCGCCAUGACGCCAUCCUUUUCCCCACAAGGGGAAACCGGACACUGGGAACCCGCCUCUCUACCACGGUCCUUUAUAAGGAGGGAUUCCUCUCGUAAGGUUAAGCAACAGCAAUUGUUAUUGUCGGAGGACGAAGACCCUACCCCAGAUCCACCCCGCUUCAGUGGGCUAUUCAACCCUUCCUUCUACCUUCCGCUGCUCCGCAAAGCUAGUGACACGGCCAACGUUGGACCGGACCAUACCCCACAGCUAGACCCACCGUCCAGGAUAAACCGAUUGUUUUGCAAACCAGUCGUGGUCCAGCACCACGUUCCCUACCCGACUCUCUUUCAGAAUGAGAUUAAGGAACAAUGGUCAGCACCGGGCACCUUUCCCCCCCUAAGGAGAACAGUCAAGAAACUGUUGAGCACAGCGCCACAACAGUCAGAGGACCUUGAGGUGCCAAAGGUGGACGAACCCUUAGGGUUUCUUUUCUCCCCGAUCCCAGCGUCGGGGGACAUGGCGGAGGUCCUACAGUCCGAUGACAAGAGAUGGGAAAUUGCCUUCCGCAGGACCCACCAGGCAGCGGCGUGGGCUGUAAAAGCCGCCACUUGUGCAUCCUUCUUUGCACGCGCCUCCUUAUCUUGGAUUUGCCAGAUGCAAAGUAGAAUUCCCCAGCAGGAAGUACAGACGCAACAAGACCUGAGCACGCUGGCCGCUGCAUCAGAAUAUGUUUCUGAUGCCACACUACACGCGGCCCGGUUCUCAUCCAGAGCCUUAGCAUCCAACGUCUCAGCACGUAGGAUGCUAUGGCUCAAACACUGGCAAGUCGACCCAAAGGUCAAGUGGCACUUAGCCUCGGCCCCGUACCAGGGUGGGCAGCUGUUUGGAGAAGCUUUGAACCCUUACUUGACCGAAAACAAGUACAAACGUAAGGUACUGGUCCAUUCCACGGGCACGGGUUUUUCUCAACCACCCUGGGCCCCCACACCUAGGCAGGACCGUCAACCAGACAGGUCUGGAUUCAGAACCAGGUACCAGGGCCAGAGCCAACGGCCCUUUUGGGAGGGGGGACACCCCUACAGAAGGUUCAAGUGACUCUCAACCCCCCCACCCCCACCCAUAGGUGGCAGACUGGCGCUAUUCUCCCGCCAGUGGGAAGCCACCACCAUGGACUCCUGGGUCUGCCAAACCAUCUGCUACGGUUUGUCUCUAGAGUUCAUAUCCAGUCCCCCAGAACACUUCAUCUCUUGCCCCCAAGCCAGAAACCCCGCCAAAAGCAAUCUCAUGCGGGAGGCCAUCCGGCAUCUCCUAGAGAUAAAGGCCAUAGAACAGGUUCUGGUCGGAGACCGGGGGUGGGGGUUCUACUCCAUCCUCUUCGUGGUUCCGAAGACCUCGGGGGGGGGGGUUGGAGGGCAAUCCUGGACCUCAGGCCUGAACCAUCGCAUUGCCUACCGAAGAUUCAAAAUCUUAGAAUAUUUGCUCAAUGCCCUAGUCAAGGGCCUUGUCCCCAAUACCAUCUGCAGACAGGUCGCGGCACUAUCCACCUUACUUACAUGUGCAAACUCAGCUCCCUUGGCACAACACCCCAGAAUCCGUGCUUUCCUUAAGGGAGCCACCAACACAAAGCCACCCGUAGUCCACAGGUAUCCCACCUGGGAAUUGCCACGAGUCCUCCGGGUCCUCACCAAGGCACCGUUCGAACCCAUCAAGCCGUGUACCCUGAGGGACUUGUCUCUCAAGGUUGUUUUCCUGGUCGCGGUCACCACGGCCAGGCGCAUAUCGGAACUCGCGGCACUGUCGGUCAGGGGGAACCUCCGCUCCUUCCAGCAAAACCGUGUGAUCCUUUUGCUUGGACCCAACCUUCGUUCCCAAGGUCAACACCACGUUCUAUAGGGCCCAAGAAAUAAUCCUAUCGGAUUUCUGCCCCAAUCCGGCCCAUGCCUUGGAACGACAGUGGCACGCACUGUACGUUCGCAGGGCACUGCGAUAUUAUAUCAAGCGAACGGCGCCCUUCCGCAAGUCGGAGGCCCUAUUCGUCUCAUUUCAUCAUACCUCUAAGGGGCAGAAGGUAAUCUGCUUCUACUAUAGGCAGGUGGAUCAGGACCUGCAUUGUGGAAGCAUAUCAAUCCCUGUCUCUACCAACACCAGGGCAGAUCACAGCACACUCCACUCGUAGUGCUGCGACCUCUGUGGUGUGGGCCACACAGGCCUCUAUCGAGGAGGUCUGCAGGGCGGCGACAUGGUCCUCGCCCUCUCCAUUCAUCUGACUCUACAAGAUAGACCGCUUCGCGUCCGCGGACGCUUCCUUUGGAAGGGGGGGGGUUCUCCAAGAGGUAAUCAUGGGGGACGUAACAGCGGCCUCUCCGGUUCCUCUCCCAUUGGGACAGUAAGCUUUUGGUUUGUCCCAUUGGUGGAUUCUACAUCUCCUGUGCUGGAGAAGGGGCGUUGUCUUACCUGAACGCCUUUUCUCAGCACAGAGAUGUAGAAUCCACUCCCACCCUUAAGAAUAACUAGUUCAUAUUAGGAAACCGGGAGCCAACACGUUCAACUCCAGUCAGCUUCACCCUCGUCAAAAGAAUGGGGAGUGUUCACCGAAGGAAGGGCGUGACAAAUUUGGCUGACUGGGUCUAAUGGGCAGGAAGGCAGAGUUAACCCAUUGGAUGGAUUCUACAUCUCCGUGCGGAGAAAAGGCAUUCAGUGGGGAGAAAAAGAAAAAAAAAGAAAGUAUUCAAUAAAGUCCAAUCCGAGGCAAUCCUGGGAUUGAUCCGGGAGUCCGGAGACGUGCCGAGGCCAGAUCCGUAGCCCAGCUCCACCUGCCAGCCUGUCCGACAUGU